rnacentral:rRNA from 1 species
GAUGAACGCUGGCGGCGUGCUUAACACAUGCAAGUCGAACGGAAAGGCCCAAGCUUGCUUGGGUACUCGAGUGGCGAACGGGUGAGUAACGCGUGGGUGAUCUGCCCUGCACUUCGGGAUAAGCCUGGGAAACUGGGUCUAAUACCGGAUAGGACGAUGGUUUGGAUGCCAUUGUGGAAAGUUUUUUCGGUGUGGGAUGAGCUCGCGGCCUAUCAGCUUGUUGGUGGGGUAAUGGCCUACCAAGGCGUCGACGGGUAGCCGGCCUGAGAGGGUGUACGGCCACAUUGGGACUGAGAUACGGCCCAGACUCCUACGGGAGGCAGCAGUGGGGAAUAUUGCACAAUGGGCGCAAGCCUGAUGCAGCGACGCCGCGUGGCGGAUGACGGCCUUCGGGUUGUAAACUCCUUUCGCUAGGGACGAAGCGUUUUUGUGACGGUACCUGGAGAAGAAGCACCGGCUAACUACGUG